UCUAAGUAAUUUGUGGUUUAAUUUUUUUAGGGUUUGAUAUAUUAAAGAGAUGAAAAAUUGGGAAGGUGUCCCCAAACCCCCGAAACCACACAAAAAAACAUAACUCCGAUGACUCCUCAAUGUCUCCAGAGAUUCACGAUCGUUGCCACUCUCGUCUGACUUCCUCGCCGACAUCUACGGAUCAACAACUUUGAGAAUCUACUGCUUGUUUCUUCCAGCGGCUUUGAGAAUCUUUUGAUCAUAUAUCUCAGUUUUAGAAUCAUUUUGCAGUGAAGUUGUUGAUUACUGAAAGCCCCAUUUUCUUCUAUUGCUUGUCUUCUUCUUUCUUUUCAGAAUAAACGCACUCUGUUCUUCUUCUUCUUCACUCCUCUUGUUGGGGUUACAACAAACACAAUCCAAAACGAUCCAAUUUCAAUGAUCCAGUUUUUGUUUUAAGUUUGUUAGGGGUACUGCUGAGUUUUUCUUUGUUUUGGACAAUGAGAAUCUGUUGUAAUCCAAAAAUGGAUGUCAAUGGUGAAGAGAUCUUUAUGAUGGAUAAGAAAACUGUAGCUUCAUAUGGAGAUGUUGAUUGUGCCUAAAUAUGAAGCAGCUGGGGAUCGAGCUCCAUUGUCAUAUCUUUUCCAAAAAAAAGCAUCCAAGAACUAUGACAUCUCAUUAGAGGUGCGGUGAUGUUUUGAUUAUCAUGCAAUGAAAGGAUGCGUGGAUGCGAUGAUCAUGCAAGUUUUCCUAGCAAAGCGCAAGUAUAAGCCUUCUUAGAGUCCUGGUAAGUCCAAGGUCGAACGCAGGGAUUAGUAAAUAGAUAUGCGACAGACUCUCUGAUCUUAUUGCGAUGGUGAUUUAACUUUGAUUUUCUGAUGCGAUGGAAUUAAAUGCACAGCGAUGAGAAGGUGGUGUUGUAACAAAUAUGCGAUAAAGGGGUUGAGAAGAGGUUUUGCUAGCAUUUAUUAAGAUAUUGUACAAGUCAUGCGAUCAUGCUAUACACAAAUAUUAAGCACUACAUUUCUCAAUGCAUAAUAACACAUUUCCUAUGUCUAGGAUGCAUG